rnacentral:tRNA from 1 species
GGAGUUGUGGCUCAAUGGUAGAGCGCUCACCUUGCAUGUGCGAGAUCCUGGGUUGGAUCCUCAGCACCA